CCUUAGAUGUCCUGGGCUGCACGCGCGCUACACUGAUGGAGCCAGCGAGUCCUCCCUUGGCCUAAAGGCCCGGGUAAUCUUGUUAAACUCCAUCGUGCUGGGGAUAGAGCAUUGCAAUUAUUGCUCUUCAACGAGGAAUCCCUAGUAAGCGCAAGUCAUCAGGUUGCGUUGAUUACGUCCCUGCCCUUUGUACACACCGCCCGUCGCUACUACCGAUUGAAUGGCUUAGUGAGGCGUUCGGACUGGCCCAGGGAGGCGGGUAACUGCCCCCCAGGGCCGGAAAGUUCUCCAAACUUGGUCAUUUAGAGGAAGUAAAAGUCGUAACAAGGUCUCCGUUGGUGAACCAGCGGAGGGAUCAUUA
rnacentral:rRNA from 1 species